rnacentral:lncRNA from 13 species
AGAACAGAGGCUACUGAAGGAGCAUUUUAAAGGAACUGUGAGUUUUGAUUUAUAUUCAUUCUGCCACAUGCAUUAUUAGUCACUUGUUAAGUCAAGUAAACGAGAACAUCUAGGUAUCAAUAUCAAAUAUAACUGUCAUUCACGUCUACUGGAAAUACAGUCUGAAUGUGGCCCGGGCCCAGUCUGAACGAAGUUUGAAUGGGUCUUGUGUAUUGAUUGUUCAUGCCAUGCUCUCCACAUAGAUCACCACUGAGGACCUACACACCAUCAUACACAGUGUGGUGGUGACCGUAGUGGAGGAGGUCAACGGGAUCCUCAUCCCAGCCAUCUUGGCCUUCGAGUAUGAGCGCCUAACAGGCUCCGUCAGCUCCAGUGACAUACCCAGCAGCGACGUACCCACCUACAGCAGCCCCUCCUCCUCGGACUACUACCGGACAUCCUCCUUCAGCACUAGCCUGCAGUCCUCCUCCCCUCAGAUAGGGCUGUCCAGCCCUACGCCUACACCUCCCAUCAUGCCGUUCAAACCUACCCCCGGUGUCAUCAGACAGAGGACAUUGACCGUGAGCUUUCCUGAAGAGGCUGAUCGAGAGUCUGAGAGAGAAACUGAGGGAGAGGCAUCUCUCUCAGUGGACCUGGCUGCCUCCAGUAGCCCAAGCCCUUCUGAAAACCAAUCCUCGCUUUUGGAGACAAGUCCUCCGUGCUUGAGGUCUUCAGGAACCAGUUUUGAAUCUGCUGGAACCCGUUUGGAAUCUUCUGGAUCCAGCCUGGGGUCUUUAGGAACUGACCUGCUGGUGAAGGUCGAGGCCGUUAUUCAGGAGGUGAUAAGGGGAGCCGUAGAUAAACUAGAGGUCGAGAGGAACAACAGGCACGGAAGAAGGGUGAGAAACAUGAGUCCUGAGGAAAAGGCUGAGAGUGUCUCCAAGAGGACUGAGGCUGCAUCGAGAGAGAGUAGUGGUGAGAGGAGAGUCAGGGGAGUGGAGAGCAAUGGCAAGAAGGUGGAGACUGUUGCAGAUAGAGUGGCAAAGACAGAAGUGUCGACUAUUGCAGACACAACGGCCAAGACUGAACUUCUGACUAUUGAAGAUACAAUGGCUGAACUGGAGAUAAAGAAAGUCGAGAUUAUUGCUGAUGUGAUACCCAAGACUACAAGUAAGGAGGUGGCCACUACGAUGGAAAAGGUGGAGGCUAAAAAAGAGGAUACUCUUGCAGAUGUGAUGGCAAGGACUGAAUUUACAGAGGUGCCAAUUAUUGCAGGUACAACUGCCAAGAAUGAAGUUCAGGAAGUGGAGACUAUUGCAGAUGUAACGGAAAAGACCAAAAUUAAGGAAGUAGUUGAGAUUAACAAGAGGGACACCCAAGAGGCAAAGGUAAAGGCUAGUUUUGAGACAGAGGUCGAGCUGACUAAAAGGUUGGACAUUGACACUAAAACGGAAGAAGAAGCCAAUGCUGAGAUGAACGCAGAUGAACAAGACAAUACCAUAUCGGAGAAUAACAACAGAUGCUUUGAGCUUAUUCUAACAGCUAGAGAAGUCAGAGAUGAGAAAAUAGAAUGCAAGGUAGAACUCAGGGAUGAGAAUAUUGGUGCAAAGAAUGAAACUAUGGAUGCAAAGGAUUCUGUUGAGAAUGCACAUGCUGAGAAAAAUGAACACAGCCACGUAAGCCCUGAGCUAUUUCAGUCAUCAUCAGACAAUGAUGAAGGUGGUCCUUCAAUGUUCCCCAUGACCAGCAUGUUGAAGAGCGCUGCCCUGUCCUCGGACCAGGUUGAUGAGAUCCUAGACAAGGUGAUCGAUGUCCUGACUGGGGAGGGCCACAAGUUCAUCUUCUCAGAGUACAGGCCAAGUAUGACCUCAAGCCCAGACUCCACGGUGUGUAUUGCCUCAAGCCCAGAAUCUAGACCAGGUCUUACCUCUACUCCAGUGGACAGAGCAAGCAGUUCCUCCAUCCCUGAGGCCAGGCCAAGCAGUUCCUCCAUCCCUGAGGGCAGGCCAAGCAGUUCCUCCAUCCCUGAGGCCAGACCAAGCAGUUCCUCCAUCCCUGAGGGCAGACCAAGCAGUUCCUCCAUCCCUGAGGGCAGACCAAGCAGUUCCUCCAUCCCUGAGGGCAGACCAAGCAGUUCCUCCAUCCCUGAGGGCAGACCAAGCAGUUCUUCCAUCCCUGAGGCCAGGCCAAGCAGUUCUUCUGCCACUCCAGGGUCUAGCCCCAGCAGUGAGUCUCUGUGCUGCAUGUCCAGCGGCCACAAUCAGGAGAUCAAUGUCCAAAGCCCAUCUGACCCACCUGGUAAGCUCCUAGGAGGCCAGGCCAGCACCCCGAGGCCUCAAAACCCACUGCUGCUCAGUGAAGAGGAUCUGUCAGACAGGGAGCUAAUGCCCUAUGCCAACAGCAUUAUCAACAUUAUCAUGCAGAAGAUGCACCAUGACGAUGACCUUUACGAGUCCGUGGGUGGCCAGAAACCACUGUCCCCAAGAAGGCGAUCACGCCCAGCUCUUCUGUCACAAUACUCUCCUCAGGACAACUCUGAGAUCCCUGUGCUCAAGAGGGCUGAUCGGAAAUCACUAAAGUCAGUUGAUCCAAAGGCCCUGAGAGUAGUCAGGUGGGUGCUGCAGACCAUCCAUAGACGCCAUGGGUGGCUGGGUCAGGCUAAUGACCACAGCAGACAGGCCAAAGAAAGCUUGCUGCUCUGUGAUGUCAUCCAGGUCUUGCUUGAGAAGCUCGACCACAAGAUGGCCACUACUGGAGACCUACAGGUGGCACCUACCCAAACAUAUGCCCUACAUACUGACGACCGCUUCAAGACGAAGUUGCAGGAGGCUACAGUUGAACCCAUCAGCGAUAUCAUCGGACAUCUGUCCAUCAAUCUGCUGAGGUCCGAGUCUUGCUUCGUGCCUAAGAAGAGAUGGUCGUCGUCAAACACCCUGGCUAAGAGCGUCUCAAUGACCAACCUGGGGAGCCGAGCUGCGGCUUCGGCUGUGGCCAUGGACAUCAGCUCCAAUGUGGUUGAGAAGCUCAAAGAGGCCUCAGGUAGCAGCAAGACCACCUGCUCGAUGACUAGCCUUCGGGACUUUGUCAGAGCCAUGACCGUCAGCCAACCAGAGCUCAGCCAGCAGGCCACCUCAUCUGGGUCAAAAAUUCACAAUGUCUACAGGGAGGUUCUGGAGAUCGUUGUGACCAAGCUGAGGAGUUUUGUCACCAAAGGGGGAUCAUUUCACAAGCCCACAGAGCACUUAGCGCAGAAGAUGGCGGAGAGCUGCCUCGAGGUAGAAUGUGCUUUCAUGGAGAUUCUGCAGACACUUAAGAGUCACGGAACAGGCGAUGAGGCAUGCAACGCCUGGGCAGUUGACUGCAUGUCCACGACUAUCUCUGACACCAUGUUUAAACGUGUGACUGAGGGGGGCCAUCCUCCUCAUCUUACUCAUGUCUCUGGGGCAACGGUCACAAACUGUGGUCCAAUCAGAAUCAGUGAUGUUAACCAGAAGCGGCCUAUCAAGAUCAAGGCUAGAAUGUCCAGGUCCUCCGUGAACCUCCUACAAACCACUGUGGAAAAGUUUGUGCAUAAGCUGACGGGUGAGCGGGUGUCCAUCCCAGAACUAGGAGAAGGAAUGUCUACUUCUACCAGUCCCCAGCAAGGAAAGGAUCCUGGUAAGAUCGACAGAGGAAUUUCUCUGUUUUUUAAUUCUUGUUAUUUUUAUUAUAAAAUGCAUAAAUAA